UACAUGUGCAGGUGAGAUCUGCUUCGUGUCCUACUCCCGUCUCGUGCAGCAUGCCCAGCAGUCCCGCCAACUUUCUAAUUGGAUUGUCGCUAUCGUGUCAUCGCAAGGAGUCGGGAGCCGCACCGAUUGAGCCGUCGUGCAUCAGAUAGGGCGGCCAUCAGGCGUUUGCUCCUAUUGGAGCCAACGGGGAGUGAAUUCAAAUAACUCGUUGACUGCUGCAGUCUGCAGGAGCAGCAGCCCGUGGCCGUUAGGACAUUGGACAGUCCUCGGGUCAGACUAGGAGCCAACGCCAAACAACCACCGGCGCUUCUAUUAGGAGCGAAGAAAAGAGAAGAAGAUGACAGGGCGGCGGCCAUCCAUUAGAGGGGGAAAAAAUCGCAUCAUCUCUUCUGCGCUGCUGCACACACAUCACAUAUUCCAUUUAAUGUGCUUUCCUAUAUAUAGGAGGGCGUCUUAUUCUCGUUAGUUUGGGGACGUUGGUUCAAGAAAGAAAGUGCGUUCCUCUGCCCACAUACUGACUGCAUAGUUUUCUAUUUGCUUGACCUUAGGGAUAGAGUCGAACGGAACGCCCAACCAAUAAAAACAAGUGAAAACCCCCAUCGCGUUAACGGUAUACUGUAGAGAACCGUCUUUUGGAACUCUUGGACAAUCUCAUCUGCCUAAUUAAACGGCCUCAAACGCCUCGGUUCUUUCCCGUUACAAUCGCGAAUGAAUAAUGAAUUACACGAAAGUUAAGAAAAGGAGAGACAACAAAAAAGAAAAGAGAAGGUUACAAAGACUGUCAUUAACGUCUCUCCACGGGCCGCACCUUUCUCCAUUUCUUUUUUCUCAUUUAAUUUAUUGCUUCUUUUUAAGGAUGGACAUUUAGCCGACUAUAGCAUUUAUCUUGACUAUAUGGUAGGGGGCUCAGUAUAAUUUGAUGAGAUCACUAUUAAAAUUAAACAUAUUAAAAUAAUCGCGAUCUGUUCAGCGGAUGUCGAAUCGCGGGUGAGAAAAUCGCUUUGAUCGUUUUUGAGCGGUUUUGAUUUAGUGGGGGAGGGGGAGUCGAUUAAAAUUUCUAUCGAUAUCUUAAGUUUGACUCAAUGACUCAUUCGAAUAUUAAUUUCGUCUGCUAUUCAUUAUGUUGUACAAGUUUUAAAAAUGUGGGCGUCGUGUCAACUCUGGUCGCCAGAAUAGCUUAAUACACACUCCAUGCUGUUUAGCAGAUACAAGCUGCAUCAUCCCUCUUGAUUUAAGAAACUAUAACGAUGUUGGUAGAUUGACGGAUCUCUUCUCCUCCUCUGCCUUCGUGUACACCCAUGAGAGUGUGGGUGCAUUCAUGAGGACGUGGGAUGCCCUUUAAAUUUCCAUCCCGCCUGGGCGCCUGGUGCUGUAUUCAACUUCUGUGGGAUGGAUGAAGCAAUUGUGGAUCCCUGGCCGUAUUUCCCGGGCUUAAAGGAGACCCCCGUGACAAUAAAUAUGUGCCGUUAUU